GGUAUUAUGUGUAUGGCAGUAGUGUGUAGAUACUGGCGGUAUUAUGUGUAUGGCAGUAUUGUGUAGAUACUGGCGGUAUUAUGUGUAUGGCAGUAGUGUGUAGAUACUGGCGGUAUUAUGUGUAUGGCAGUAGUGUGUAGAUACUGGCGGUAUUAUGUGUAUGGCAGUAGUGUGUAGAUACUGGCGGUAUUAUGUGUAUGGCAGUAUUGUGUAGAUACUGGCGGUAUUAUGUGUAUGGCAGUAUUGUGUAGAUGACGGCAGUAUUAUACAGGCGGUGUAUGGCAGUAUUGUGUAGAUAACGGCAGUAUUAUACAGGCGGUGUAUGGCAGUAGUUGUGUAGAUAACGGCAGUAUUAUAUAGGCGGUGUAUGGCAGUAGUUGUGUAGAUAACGGCAGUAUUAUAUAGGCGGUGUAUGACAGCAUUAUGUAGAUAACGGCAGUAUUAUACAGGCAGUGUAUGGCAGUAUUAUGUAGAUAUCAGUGGUAUUAUAUAGGCUCUGUAUGGCAGUAUUAUGUAGAUAAUGGCGGUAUUAUGUAUAUGGCAGUAUUGUGUAGAUAAUGGCGGUAUUAUGUAUAUGGCAGUAUUGUGUAGAUAAUGGCGGUAUUAUGUAUAUGACAGUAUUGUGUAGAUAAUGGAAGUAUUAUGUGUAUGGCAGUAUUGUGUAG